rnacentral:rRNA from 1 species
UACGUAGGGUGCGAGCGUUAAUCGGAAUUACUGGGCGUAAAGCGUGCGCAGGCGGUUCGUCGUGUCCGAUGUGAAAGCCCCGGGCUCAACCUGGGAAUGGCAUUGGAAACUGGCGGACUCGAGUGUGGCAGAGGGGGGUGGAAUUCCGCGUGUAGCAGUGAAAUGCGUAGAGAUGCGGAGGAACACCGUUGGCGAAGGCAGCCCCCUGGGCUAACACUGACGCUCAGGCACGAAAGCGUGGGGAGCAAACAGG